UGUCCCGCCGAGACCUGGCUUCUGUCCCGAGCGCCCAGUUUAGCGUAAACCGGGAAGCGGAUCGCGUGGAGUGAAAGUCACCGCAGCGGAGAUGGACAAACCAUGUGGGUGCCCUCCAGGUGUGUGCGACCAUGAAAUGGGAGACUAGCAGGACCCACGUUGGCCAACCGUGGACCUGGUCCCUCCAGUAGGAGUCGUGAGCCAGCUGAAUUUGAAUGCAAAGAUGGAGCAAGGGCCGACUGGAGUCACACUGACAUCCACCCCCAUAACAUGGGGACAGAUCAAGAAAACAAAGCAGGAAGCUGAGAAAAUGCUGGAGCAUCCAUGUGCUUGGCCAUGUUAGCAGUAGUGUCCUGUGAGGAUUGAUUUCCAAAAACUCCUGUUACAUGAGGAAGACACCAAGAAGAGCAAAGAAAAGGAGCCAGGGUGGCUCUUCCUCAGCUAUCUCUUCCAAAUGCAUGACAAGGAAGUUCUCAUCAAGAAGGCAAGGCAAUACAGAAGUGUUCCACACAGGGACAUUGCAAAGACAAGCAAGUCAUCACACUGGAGAUUUUUCCUUCCAGGAAAUUGAGAAAGAUUUUCAGGACUUUGAGUUUCAGUGGCAAGAAGAUGAAAGAAAUGGCCAUGAAGCACUCAUGACAGAGAUAAAAAAGUUGACAGGUAAUACAGACUGAUAUGAUCAAAGGCAUGCUGGAAACAAACCUAUUAAAGAUCAGCUUGGAUCAAGCUUUCAUUCACAUCUGCCUGAACUGCAUAUAUUGCAGAGCAAAGGGAAAAUUGAUAGUCAAGAUGAGAAGUCUGUCAAUGAUGCUUCCUCAGUUUCAGCAUCCCAAAGAAUUUCUUGUAUUCCUAAAACCCAUAUUUCUAAUAAGUAUGGGAAUAAUUUCCUCCAGGAAGCACACAUGAGAGAAAAAUCUUUCCAAUGUAAUGAGAGUGGCAAAGCCUUUAAUUGUAGCUCACUGUUAAAAAAAUGUCAGAUAAUCCAUUUAGGAGAGAAAAAAUAUAAAUGUGAUAUAUGUGGCAAGGUCUUUAAUCAGAAGCGAUACCUUGCAUACCAUCAUAGAUGUCACACUGGUGAGAAACCUUACAAGUGUAAUCAGUGUGGCAAGACCUUCAGUUACAAGUCAUCCCUUGUAAUUCACAAGGCAAUUCAUACUGGAGAGAAACCUCACAAGUGUAAUGAAUGUGGCAAGGUUUUUAAUCAAAAAGCAUAUCUUGCAAGUCAUCAUAGACUUCAUACUGGAGAGAAACCUUACAAAUGUGAAGAAUGUGACAAAGUUUUUAGUCGCUAAUCACACCUUGAAAGACAUAGGAGAAUUCAUACUGGAGAGAAACCGUACAAAUGUAAGGUUUGUGACAAGGCUUUCAGACGUGAUUCACACCUGGCACAACAUAUUGUAAUUCACACUGGAGAGAAACCUUACAAGUGUAAUGAGUGUGGCAAGACCUUUGUUCAAAAUUCAUCUCUUGUAAUGCAUAAGGUCAUUCAUACUGGAGAGAAAUGUUACAAGUGUAAUGAAUGUGGCAAGGUUUUUAAUCACAAAUCAAACCUUGCAUGUCAUCAUAGACUUCAUACUGGAGAGAAACCUUACAAGUGUAAUGAAUGUGGCAAGGUUUUUAAUUGAAAAUCAAACCUUGAACAUCAUCAUAGAGUUCAUAUCGGAGAAAAACCUUACAAAUGUGAAGAAUGUGACAAAGUUUUCAAUUUCAAUUCACGCCUUGAAAUACAUAGGAGAGUUCAUACUGGAGAGAAACCAUAGAAAUGUAAGGUUUGUGACAAGGCAUUCGGGUGUGAUUCACACCUGGCACAACAUACUAGAAUUCACACUGGAGAGAAACCGUGCAAGUGUGAUGAGUGUGACAGAGCCUUCAGUGGUCAGUCAACACUUAUUCACCAUCAAGCAAUCCAUGUCAUAGGGAAACUUUACUAAUGUAAUGAUUGUCACAAAGUCCUCAGUAAUGCUACAACCAUUGCAAAUUAUUGGAGAAUGCAUAAUGAAGUGAGAACUUACAAGUGUUAUAAAUGUGGCAAAUUUUUCAGACUUCGUUCAUACCUUGCAGUUUAUCAGCGAACUCAUACUGGAGAGAAACCUUACAAAUGUGAUGAUUGUGGCAAGGUCUUCAGUCAAGCUUCAUCUUAUGCAAAACACAGGUGAAUUCAUACAAGAAAGAAACCUCACAAGGGUGAUGAUUGUGUCAAAGCCUUUAUUUCAGGUUCAUGCCUCAUUACACAUCAGAGAAUCCAUACUAGACAGAGAUCUUACAAAAGUCAUAUGUGUGGCAAGAUCUUUAGUCUGAGGUCACUCCUUGCAGGACAUCAGGAAAUUCAUUUUUGAGGUAAUAAUUUCAAAUGCAAUGAGUAUAGCAAACCAUCAAGCACAAUUGAUGUUAGAUUCAAAUCAGCAUUGAGUUCAGUUUGAGUUGACUUAACAUUGAGUUCAAGUAUUUGUUGAGAUUAAAGUGUUUAUGUUAAGAGGAUUAGGCCAGGUGCGGUGGCUCACACCUGUAAUCCCAGCACUUUGGGAGGCCAAGACAGGUAGAUCACUUGAGAUCAGGAGUUUGAGAGCAGCCUGGCCAACAGAGGUGAGCACCUUUCCCAGUCUGUUUUUUGUUUCUUCAACAAAAACUGAUAGAGAUUUUUAUGGGUAUUGUGUUGAAUCAAAAUCACAUUGGGUUAUGUAAUCAUUUAACAGUAUUAAUUUUUCCAAAACAUCAAUAUGGGUUAUAUCUUUAUAUAUGUUUUUAAUCAUUUUGAUCAAUGUUUGUAGAUUUCAAUGUAUGAAUUUCUCACUUCUUUCCAUUUAUUCCUAUUUCUUACUUUAAGUUCUCUAGCAAAUGGAAGUGUUUUUAAAUUUUCAUUUAAAAUUGUUUAUUGUUAAUGUAUGAAAAUUCAACGAAUUUUUGGUGCUGAUAUUGUAUUGUGCAAAUCUACUGAUGUGUUUAUUAGUCACAGUAGUAUUUUGGUUGACUCUUUGUGAUUUUCUACACAGAAGAUCAUGUCAUCUACAAAAAAUAUAAUUUUACUUUUUCUGAUUUUGAGGCAUUUCAUUUCUUUUGCUAGUUCAUUGCUCUGGCUAGGACUUCCAGUAUUUAUUGAAUAGAAAAAGUGAGAACGUUCUUGCAUCAUGUGAGAUCCUACGGGAAAAGGAUUCUAUUUUCCCUGCUUGGUUAUCUCCACAUUGGUCAUUUCAUCAAUGGUCUUUCUAUUGGUGAGGUAAAUUUCCUUCUCCAUCUAUUUUGUUUAAGAUUUCUAUGAUGAUCAGAUGCUGAAUUUUGUGAAAUGAUUUUUCUCCAUCUGUUGAGAUGAUGUGGUUUUCAUCUUUCAUUCUGUUCAAGUGGUAUAUCACAUUGAUUUGCUUGAAUAUGUUGAACCAUCCUUGCAUGCCAGAAGUAAAUGGCACUUGCAUAUCUACAAUCCUUUUAUAUAUCCUCUUGAAUACAGUUUUCUAGUACAAGUGGUCUUCAAGAAGCUCAUGGAAAAAUACAUAUUAUGGAAAAAUUGUGCAUGAAUUUCACAGUUUUUGCACCAAAAUAAACUGAUACAAAUCUGUUAUAACAUGUCUGAACAGGCUCUAGUUUGAGGCACUGAGAAGGAUAAGACAUGAGUUUGAAAAGAGACUGUAUCAAAGGAAUACAAAUUCUGCUAAAAUUGAAACAAGAAGAAACAUAAAAUUUAUGAUGAGAACAGUUGCAGUGUCUCAGGUCUGUAAUUCCAGUAAUUUCAGAGGCCAAGACAGGUGGGUCACGUGAGCCCAGGCAUUCAGGACCAGCCUGGGCAACAUGGUGAAAACCCCUUCUAUACAAAAAAUACAGAAAUUCACUGGGCAGGGUGGCACCUGACUGCAGGGCCAGCUACUGUGGAGUCUGUAGCAUGAGGAUGGCAUGAGCCUGGGAGGUCGAGGCUGCAGUGAGCUGUGAUCUUGCCACUGCACUCCAGCAUGUCUCAAAAAAAGAAUACUUAUGGUAAAGUUUGGGUAGAUGAAUUAUGAUAUCAUUGAUGCUUUAUGAAAAGGUUAUGGGGACGAUGCCCAAAAGAAAUCAACAGUUUGUAAAUGGAUAACUAAUUUUGAGUUGGGAGAAGACAAUGUUGAAGGUUACACGUGGAGCAGCAGGCAGACCAUCCACAUCAGUUUCAGAGAAAAACAAUAAUCUUGUUUGUGCCGUGAUGAAGAGGACUGACAGCUAACAGCAGAAACAAUAGUCAGGAGGUUGAGAACAGGCUGGUUAACAUGGUGAAAUGCCAUCUCUAUUAAAAAUACAAAAAUUAGCUAGGUAUGGUCGCAGACACCUGUAAUCCCAGCUCCUUGGGAGGCUGAGGUGGGAGAAUCGCUUGAACCCAGGAGGUGGAAGUUGCAGUGAACCGAUAGUGCCAUUGCACUCCAGCCUGGGCAACAAGAGUGAAACUUUCUCUCAAAAAAAAAAAAAAAAAAAAAAAAAAAAAGAUGUCAAGCCCCUUCUCUUCCUUUCUCCACCAUCAUGGUGUGUACUUGACUCUGCUUCUCACCAGAUCUUCUCAUAAGACUAUCAGGAUUAAGCAAUUCCUGGCCAAGAAAAAAAGCAAAAUUGUUCCAUUCCCCAGUGGAUUCAGAUGAAAACUGGUAAUAAAAUCAGGUACAACUUUAAAAGGAGACAUUGGAGAAGAACCAAUCCGUGUCUAUAAGGAAUUGUACAUGAGAUGGCACACAUUUUUAUGCUGUCUGAGCAUUACAAUCACGUUACCAUAUCAAGCAGAAAAUGUCACCAUUAUCUGGAGAGUUGGACAUGUUUUAUUGGGAAUAUAUUUUUUCUCUCUGAAUCUGUUAUGAACAUGUUGGUUGGCUGGGUUCAGUAAUAAAUAUGUGAGGCUUUUCAUUUCAAAAAAAAGUCAAAUGAUGUAAUUCCAUAGAGUACCUUAAUUCCCGUAUUGCUUUUUGGUUUUUUUUGAGAUGGAGACUCCACUGGGUUCAGUGGAUCACACUUGUGGUCCUCACACAUUCGGAGGCUGAGGUGGGAGGAUUGCUUGAGAUCAGGAGUCUUCUGGGAAUCUUCUCGCCUCCGCUAACCCAGUUCAGGAUAGACCCUUGGACUUUACUGUUUUGGAAAAUCUAUAUAAACCAAUAUCAGUGUGUCAAAGCAUUAUGUCUGUCAGAAGGUUGUGAAAGAAGCUUAAAAAUUACUAAGCCAAAGAGAAAAGUCAGGCUGGGAACUGUGUCAGACAAACCUGCCUCCCAUUUUAUUCCUAAAAGAGACAGCUACAAGGAUUUUUUACAAAGCUACAUAGAGGCUGGGUAUGGUGGCUCAGGCCUCUAAUCCCAGCACUUUGGGAGGCUGCGGUGGGUGGAUCGCCUGAGGUCGGGAGUUCGAGACCAGCCUGACUAACAUGGAGGUACCCCGUCUCUAGUAAAAAUAGAAAAUUAGUCAGGCAUGGUGGCAUAUGCCUGUAAUACCUGCUACUCGGGAGGCUGAGGCAGGAGAGUCACGUGAACCCAGGAGACAGAGGUUGUAGUGAGCCGAGACCACACCAUUUCACUCCAGCCUAAGCAAUGAGAAUGAAACUCCAUCUCAAAGAUGAAUAAAUGAAUACAUAGAUACAUAAAUAUUUAAAAUAUAAAGAUGAGGUUUCACCAUGUGCCUGGGCUGGUCUCCAACUUUUGGCCACUAGCUAUCUUUCUGCUUCGGUCUCCC
rnacentral:lncRNA from 1 species